UACGUAGGGUGCAAGCGUUGUCCGGAAUUAUUGGGCGUAAAGAGCUCGUAGGCGGUUUGUUGCGUCGGCUGUGAAAUCCCGAGGCUCAACCUCGGGUCUGCAGUCGAUACGAGCAAACUAGAGUGUUGCAGGGGAGACUGGGAAUUCCUGGUGUAGCGGUGAAAUGCGCAGAUAUCUGGAGGAACACCGGUGGCGAAGGCGGCAUCCUGGACCGGUAUUGACGCUGAGGCGCGAAAGCCAGGGGAGCAAACGGG
rnacentral:rRNA from 1 species